UACGUAGGGUGCAAGCGUUAAUCGGAAUUACUGGGCGUAAAGCGUGCGCAGGCGGUUUUGUAAGUUUGUCGUGAAAUCCCCGGGCUCAACCUGGGAAUGGCGAUGAAGACUGCAAGGCUAGAAUCUGGCAGAGGGGGGUAGAAUUCCACGUGUAGCAGUGAAAUGCGUAGAGAUGUGGAGGAACACCGAUGGCGCAAGGGCAGCCCCCCUGGGUCAAGAUUGACGCUCAU
rnacentral:rRNA from 1 species